rnacentral:rRNA from 1 species
AGCGAACGCUGGCGGCAGGCCUAACACAUGCAAGUCGAACGAAGCCUUCGGGCUUAGUGGCGGACGGGUGAGUAACACGUGGGAACGUACCUUUUGGUUCGGAACAACUCAGGGAAACUUGAGCUAAUACCGGAUGAGCCCUUAGGGGGAAAGAUUUAUCGCCGAAAGAGCGGCCCGCGUUAGAUUAGCUAGUUGGUGAGGUAAAGGCUCACCAAGGCUACGAUCUAUAGCUGGUCUGAGAGGAUGAUCAGCCACACUGGGACUGAGACACGGCCCAGACUCCUACGGGAGGCAGCAGUGGGGAAUCUUGCGCAAUGGGCGAAAGCCUGACGCAGCCAUGCCGCGUGAAUGAUGAAGGUCUUAGGACUGUAAAAUUCUUUUACCAGGGACGAUAAUGACGGUACCUGGGGAAAAAGCCCCGGCUAACUUCGUGCCAGCCGCCGCCGUAACAC